rnacentral:rRNA from 1 species
UGAGUAACCUGCCCUUAACUCUGGGAUAAGCCUGGGAAACUGGGUCUAAUACCGGAUAUGACUCCUCAUCGCAUGGUGGGGGGUGGAAAGCUUUUUGUGGUUUUGGAUGGACUCGCGGCCUAUCAGCUUGUUGGUGAGGUAAUGGCUCACCAAGGCGACGACGGGUAGCCGGCCUGAGAGGGCGUCCGGCCACACUGGGACUGAGACACGGCCCAGACUCCUACGGGAGCAG